ensembl:snRNA U6 U6 spliceosomal RNA
GUGCUCGCUUCAGCAGCACAUAUCCUCAAAUUGGAACAGAACAGCGAAGCUUAGCAUGGCCCCCGCACGAGGAUGAC